rnacentral:rRNA from 1 species
UACGUAGGGUGCAAGCGUUGUUCGGAAUUAUUGGGCGUAAAGCGCGUGUAGGCGGCUUUGCAAGUCGGAUGUGAAAGCCCUCAGCUUAACUGAGAAAGUGCACCCGAAACUGAGUAGCUAGAGUACUAAAGAGGGUCGCGGAAUUCCCGGUGUAGAGGUGAAAUUCGUAGAUAUCGGGAGGAACACCGGUGGCGAAGGCGGCGACCUGGGUAGAUACUGACGCUGAGGCGCGAAAGCGUGGGGAGCAAACAGG